rnacentral:rRNA from 1 species
UGGGGAAUAUUGGACAAUGGGGGAAACCCUGAUCCAGCAAUGCCGCGUGAGUGACGAAGGCCUUAGGGUUGUAAAGCUCUUUUACCUAUGAAGAUAAUGACGGUAGUAGGGGAAUAAGCCCUGGCUAACUCUGUGCCAGCAGCCGCGGUAAUACAGAGAGGGCAAGCGUUGUCCGGAAUGACUGGGCGUAAAGAGCGCGUAGGCGGUCUUUUAAGUCGGAUGUGAAAUCCCUGGGCUUAACCUAGGAACUGCAUACGAUACUGGAGGGCUAGAGGAUGAGAGAGGAAAGUGGAAUGACGAGUGUAGAGGUGAAAUUCGUAGAUAUUCGUCGGAACACCAGAGGCGAAGGCGGCUUUCUGGCUCAUACCUGACGCUGAGGCGCGAAAGCGUGGGGAGCAAA